rnacentral:rRNA from 1 species
GGAUUAGAUACCCUGGUAGUCUUUGCCGUAAACGAUGCAUACUUGGUGUAGUUGGUCUCAAUCCCGACUGUACCGUAGCUAACGCGUUAAGUAUGCCACCUGGGGAGUACGCUCGCAAGAGUGAAACUCAAAAGAAUUGACGGGGGCCCGCACAAGCAGUGGAGCAUGUGGUUUAAUUCGAUGCAACGCGCAGAACCUUACCCAGACUUGACAUCUUGAGGACCGCAUCAGAAAUGAUGCUUCUCGCAAGAGCCUCUUGACAGGUGCUGCAUGGCUGUCGUCAGCUCGUGCCG